GCCUAGCUCAAUUGGUAGAGCAACUGACUUGUAAUCAGUAGGUUGGGGGUUCAAGUCCUCUGGCCGGCACCA
rnacentral:tRNA from 1 species